GCUCAUUUGAAUACGACAGGUGAGUGGGGCAGAAUACUUUCAGUAUGCUUCGAACACGUCGACAUCUGUCUCUCAGACUAUGAGCAUUCUCGGUUUCCGGGAGCGUGUUACUUUGAACAGGGUGCCACUACAACGUUGAUCGUCUCACCUGGAUACCCAUUAACCGGCAGUUACAUGGUGCAAAUGUAAGAACAGAUCCUGCAGACCUGAAUGAUCCUUUCUACUCUAUCGGGAGGGUGCCUGAAUUCAGUAACUGAGGUAACUGCCCUCCAGUGCGCAAAUGUGAAACACUUGUUGGAACAACUGACCCUUAGAGGUUGUAACAACUUCUUUCAUGUUGAUGUUAUAAAUUACGUAUUGAUGACUUUAAAAGUUUGUGAUUUCUCUCCUCAGCAU